AGGACGAACGCUGGCGGCGUGCUUAACACAUGCAAGUCGAGCGGUAAGGCCUUUCGGGGUACACGAGCGGCGAACGGGUGAGUAACACGUGGGUGAUCUGCCCUGCACUCUGGGAUAACGCCUGGGAACUGGGUCUAAUACCGGAUAUGACCUGCUCUCGCAGUGGGGGGUGGGUAGGAAAGUAUUUAUCGGUGCGAGGAGUCGGGCCCGCGGCCUAUCAGCGUUGGUUGGGUGGGUAAUCGGCCUACCGAAGGCGACGACGGGUAGCCGACCUGAGGACGGGUCGACCGGGCCAACGACGUCGGGACUAGGAGACGACGGCCAGACUCCGACGGGAGGCAGCAGGUGGGAAUAGUGACACAAGUGGGACGAAAGCCU
rnacentral:rRNA from 1 species